AAUACGUAAAAUAUUACUCAA
rnacentral:misc_RNA from 1 species